UCCGCCUCAUCCCCGGUGGGAGGUCCUUCACCAAUCCGUCCAGCGGUCCAAACCCACCGCCCGAGGCCGUUCACCUUCGCAACACCCCUUUUCAGCAGCCAUCGUGAGGUACACCCUGCUCAGAAUUUCUCCUCUCCAGCUCCCGACUGCAAAGAUCUCUGUGCCUCCUUUCGAACUGCCAUUUUAUUUUGAAUUGAAGUAUGGGUGCUCUUGAUUCAGACCUUUGGGAAGAAAGGAAGAACCUUUCUCUCGUAGGCCGUCAUAGAUGGAUCGGCGAGAUUUGUCCGGCUCAGUGUUAGUGGUAAUAAACAAGUCAUUAGGCGAGCACAUUCGUUGGAUAAAGAAUUAGAUGUGGGGUUCUAGGACCUGUACAGGUUGUUACUGAAUACUAGUACUGAUGAGUGACAACAUAUGGUCGCUAGAUCAGAUGGACCCAGCACCAUGAAGAGAUCAGAUUGCCACUUACACCGAUCACCAUCAGUUCUAUUAGCGAAGCAGCAGUAUGAUUGCUAGGACUAUGCUCUCUCUCUCUCUCUCUCUCUCUCUCUCUCUCUCUCUCUCUCCCGUGAGCUCCUCCAUAAAGAGACAGUGUUGUUGAUUUUAUUCAUAUAUAGGAAAGUAAACCAAAACAGUGGUUGCUACUAGUGUUUGGAAAUUAUAAUUACUAGAACUCUUAUUUCUCACCCUUUUAAUUGCUGGCUAAUUCUUGUAAAAAGUAGUGGUUAAUCUUGCUAAUUACUUUGAUGAGAUGCCUAGGUGUUCAGUCCAGCUCCUGCAACCAACACGGGUCAUUGCCCUUUUUGCCACAACGGCAGCAGCACAAACACGAGCGUGGUCGUCCUCAAACCGGUUCCUCACGCGGCCUCCGCGCAAGCCCUGCUCAUGUAUGCUUACACCAAAAGUACAAAUCUUGCUACUCUCCUCGUACUUGCACUUGCUUAUUUUCUAAGCAAUAAUCCUAUUGCUUCCUCUUGGGGAAAGGGAUCCCAUGUUGAAGCUGUCUUGGUGCUCACCCGCUGUUUAUAUUCAUCACCAUAGUGUACGAAACAUAUGAAAACCAUUCUGACUUAAGAGAAAAUAUAACCAGUACAUGUGCAAUUGCGUGAGAAGUUCCCUUAUGAAAGUUCCUUGUAAACAAACCACAUGAAAGUUCAUCAAGAGAACUUUGUAAGUUCAAAAUGGCUAUAGGAAAAAAAAUUAGCUUCAGAUGGGUAUAGAAAACUUUGUAAGUUCAAAAUGGGCACGCCUAACAGUGCAUGAAUAAAAAAAUUAAACCCAACAAAGUCCAUGUUGGUUGGUCUACAGUGUGUUGUCAAGAAGGUUGUUGGCCUUGGAGGCUGACACUGGCUGAUCAUCUACCUUCCAAUUAUUAUUAGGCAUAUACCACUGAAACUGCAGGUCGCGCCCUCCUCCCACUGUAGGUCAUGCCCUCCUCCCGCAUAGCCUAUUGGUUGGCGUACCGUGACCCCUCCUCAUAUUUUUGGUAUGAAUUUGAUGAAUCUUCUUGAUGCUUUGUUCUUAUUCAUCUAGAUAUUCCUCCUCAUAUUGAUUGUUUGUAUUGCUUGUAUCGGUUUCGUUCUUGCAUGUAUGUAUCAGUUCGAUGUUUUGAGAUAGCUCAGAUUACUUCCAACUGUGAAGAUUGACAUGCAUAUUUGGGGAUGAGAUUUUCAGGUACUAGUUUGGCACUGUAUCUAACCCGUACUAAAAUAUUUCAGCAGUUCAACAGGGGCGCGGGGUUCAGUUCGACGGUCACGAGCCAGGGUUUAUUUCUUUUCUUAUUUGUAUUGCUUGGUCGUCAGGUCGCAGCCUCUUCCUUCUGCAGGCCAUGCCCCAUCCCCCCAUUCCCGCAGCGACCAGGCCAUUCACUGCCAGUUCCACAGUCCGUUCACUGCCGACAGCCAAGGCCGUUCAACGACGUAGCGACGAGGUAUGGCCUUCCCCCUUCCUCUUUUCAUGUAGCAUAUUCUUGUGUAGAUGUACAUUCAUGUGUAGUACAUUUGUGUAUUGUGUAUAUUCGUUUCAAGUUCAAAAAAAGGAUAAUAAAAAGGUUCAUAAAAGAACCCAGAACAUCCGGUAGCUCUGGAAUCUGGGAGUUCGGGAAAAAUUGAUCCAAAAUGAACAUGGAGAGGGUUUUGAUUGCAGAGAAGUUGCAGAACAAAAAGGAAAGGAAAACCAUUGUUUCUAUUGUUGUUAUUUUGUUGGCCUCAUGGUGUUUACUGAAAUGCCUACAACAACUUAACAUGUUUUCUUUUCAUGUUUGUCUUUUGUUAAAAUGAAGCUAAGGUGUUGUACUGCUCUAUUAUGUACAUCCGGGCAUGAUGCACAGAAUAAAACAUUAUGAGAUCCUUGGUUUACUUACAGGCAGGUCAUCAGUUCAAACCUAACACAGAAACUCCUUGCUUGGCAUUCGAGCUCUUAUUUUCCCAAGACUAGUACUGGUAAAUGUUAUUUCACUAUGUAUUCUUUCCUCAUUCCAUAGAGAAACAUGGGAAUAGUUCGAUCGUGUUGGAUAGAUAGUUCAAUUUUAUAUAUCAUAAGAAGAAAAGAACAUGUUUUGUAUAGGAGAAAAUCAAAAACAUUAUUAGCAACUCACUUUGUAUUCUACCAUCAGUUCUGUCUGUGUUAGAGAGAGGGUUCGGUGUCUCAUUGUUUUCACUUGCCCCCCAAAAAAUGUUAUGUUGCAGAUUAGGAACAUUGUAUUUACAUUUUUUUAAACAAAGAACUAAUCAGUUCAUAUAAGUUCAAAAAGACAAAGCGUCGAAAGUUCAAUUGAAAGCUCUCACCAGCGUCGUGACCUCCCCCAGCCAGCCCCCAUGGCUUGCCUCGAUGGUGCCCCCAAGCCGUUCUAGAACCACCAUGAUGAAUAGAAAUCCAUCCAACUAUUUACUUAUGCCCUCAUGAUCAUUUUAUUGUAUAAAUGUGCCUUUUCUGUUGGACUCUCCUUAUUUGCUUGUCAAAAUUUAGUUUUAGUCCACUACAAUUUCCAUGAGUGGAUUUAAAAACCAACAAAUGCACAGAUUAAAAAUGCAUACAACAACUACAAAAUAUCAAUUUAGUUCGGUCCAAAUUGUAAUUUUAGUUCAGUCCAAUUCCUAGUUUUACUUCAGUACAAAUUCCAAUUUUAGUUUAAUUCAAUUCUUGUUUUUUACCUCUAUUCAAUUUUACUUCAAUUCAAUUCAAUUUUUAGUUUAGUUAACUUCAAUUCUUAUUUUUUGUUUACUUGGACAAGAAGUUCAAUAUUAAAUGCCCAGAUAGUGCCUGGAAAAAGUGAAGAUAGGUUUGUAGUGAUGUUUAUGAUAGACUGGUAGUUGAAAGAUUUAGAGGUAAAAAAUAUUUUCUUGCAAUCUGCUGAAUGUUUCAAUUUGUUGCGUGCGAAUUUUGUUAUAGCAAAAAACUGAAUGGUGGGUAAGAUGACUAGUUAUGGCAAAAACAGUGAAACAAAGUUUUUUUAAAUCUCGGGUUAAUACAUGAACAUGGUCAUCUUUUUACAUGUACUUACAUCAGCUCGUCAGAGCUGUUCGUGUACUUGUAACACAAUCAACUCAGAUUUUGAGAUACUAUAAGUUCAGAGAAAAAAAAGGAGGCCGUUCACCCUUACAACCUCAAGUCGUUGACCUCCGCCGAACGAGGCCGUGCGACGACGCAACGAUCAGGCCAUCCACCUCUGCCACAGGAGGCCGUUCGAUGAUGCAGCGCUCAGGACGUUGUGUUUUUUUCAGUACAUGUUUUGUGUGUUUUCAAGUUCACCUACUUAACGAUAUUAUGUCCAAUUUCCCCUUUGUUUACAUGUUGUUCCUAUAGUACAAUAGGUGUUUCUGUUAUGCCUUAAUAAGCACUUAAGAAAACCUUGUAUGGAUCGAAACUACCAUAUGCUCUAUUCUAUUCUUGUAAAUGAAGCUCCACUUCUGUUUUGUUUGAAGUUACUUGGCAUAAAAAUUAGUAUAUGUUUUAUUGUAAAAACAUAUAUAAAAUGUCUUGAUGAAUGCUAGCAGAAAUCUGAAAAUAAACUCAGCACAGUUCCUAUAUUUUAUUCAAGUUCGAAGCUAAACAUUUCUAACAAGUUAUCGCUCCUUGCAGGAUACACACUAUUCAUCGCAUUUGUCAUCGAGCGAUUGCACCCCUAUCUUCAGAAGCUCAUCACCAUGAGGAAAUCAUUCAACACCUCCCAGAGAGGAGGUUGAAAAAUUCCAAAUGGAGUUCAAACAUGAAUUUGAGAAAAUGAUUCCCCGGCUAAGUUCGAAAAAUGUCAUUCUGUGAAGUUCGGCUAUUCAGCCAAUGGUGGAGUUGCAAUUUUGUUUCUUAUGUACAUACAUGAAUUGAAUGUAAUCAACGAAAAGAAACAUAUGUUGAUUCUCCAAGUUAGAGUUCAUUUUUAUUUUCUUACAAAGUAGCAAAACUUCCUUUGUGGGUGAGUAUAGCUUAUGUGCGAUCUUGUGUUCACUAAUCUUGUAGUAUUGUUUUUACAGGGAUCUUUCUAGUACUUUGUAAAGAAAGCGUGAUCCAUUUGUAAAAAUAUGGCAAAAGACAUCCUUCACUCUUGCAGUCUUUUGCUAAAAAAUGUUUUAAGUUCAAUGGAUGCCAUCGAGAAAGUUUAAACAUUUGAUAUUCAUGUGCUCAUAUUCUCUAGAUGAACGUUAUUUUUUUGCGACUCGUCUCAUACUUUGCGAGAUGAAAAAAUUUCUCUCCAUGUUUUCUACUCUUUAUAUGAGUGGUGAAAAGUACAUGUAUUACUAGUAUAUAAGUUCAAACAACAAAUCACAAUCAGUUCCGUGAAAAUGCAAAGAAGUUCAAAAAAAAAUAUAAAAAAAUUCUAGAGUCAAGUUCAAGUGCUG
rnacentral:lncRNA from 1 species